rnacentral:rRNA from 1 species
AGUGAACGCUGGCGGCGUGCCUAAUACAUGCAAGUCGAACGGAGUGGCGCACGGGCGAGUAAUGUAUAGCUAAUCUGCCCUACACUAGAGGACAACAGUUGGAAACGGCUGCUAAUACUCUAUAGUGUAGGAUGAGGCUAUAUUGUAUCAGCUAGUUGGUGAGGUAAUGGCUCACCAAGGCUAUGACGCAUAACUGGUCUGAUAGGAUGAUCAGUAAAACGGGAAGUGAGACACGAGCCAGGCACCUACGGGAGGAAGCAGUAGGGAAUAUUGCUCAAUGAGGGAAACUCAGAAGCGGCAACGCCGCGUGGAGGAUGACACUUGUCGGAGCGUAAACUCCUUUUGUUAGGGAAGCGGUACCUAACGAAUAAGCACCGGCUAACUCCGUGCCAGCAGCCGCGGUAAUAC